rnacentral:rRNA from 1 species
CGAGCACGCGCGUGUGGCAUAUCAAUAAGCGGAGGAAAAGAAACUAACAAGGAUUCCCCUAGUAAUGGCGAGUGAAGCGGGAAGAGCUCAAAUUUGAAAUCUUCAAGGUUUUACCUUGACGAAUUGUAGUUUAAAGAAGUGUUUUCGGUUAGAGGAGUAGUAAAAGUUCUUUGGAAUAGGACAUCAUAGAGGGUGAGAAUCCCGUAUUUGACUAUUCUUUCUAGCUUUGUGAUACACUUUCAAAGAGUCGGAUUGUUUGGGAAUGCAGUCCAAAAUGGGUGGUAAAUUUCAUCUAAAGCUAAAUAUUGGCGAGAGACCGAUAGCGAACAAGUACCGUGAGGGAAAGAUGAAAAGAACUUUGAAAAGAGAGUUAAACAGUACGUGAAAUUGUCAAAAGGGAAGCGUUUGACACCAGUGUUGUUUUUCCGAAAAUCAAUUACGAAUGUUUUGUUUUUAAGAAGUUAUGACUUCAUCGGCUUGCUUCUCUCUUUAUGAAACUUUCUUAAUGCACUUUUCGGUUAACAAGUCAACAUCAAUUUCUUUUGUUGUAAAAGGGUAUGAGGAAGGUGGCUUUCUUUUCGGAGAAAGUGUUUAUAGCCUUGUGCCUCUGCAAUCGGAGAGAUUGAGGUCUGCAGCGUAGAUCCUUCGGGGUUAGAUACGUUUGUGCUAAGUUAUAGCUUUUCAUAGACAACUUGUUGACUAUGUUUAGUCUUGUAGCUUACUCGCUGAAGUGCUAUUUUACCUACGCUUAGGAUGUUGAUGUGAUACUGCGAGC